rnacentral:rRNA from 1 species
AAGCACUCCGCCUGGGGAAUACGGUCGCAAGACUAAAACUCAAAGGAAUUGACGGGGACCCGCACAAGCGGUGGAGCAUGUGGUUUAAUUCGAUGCAACGCGAAAAACCUUACCACUCCUUGACAUGGAGAUUAGAUCCUUCUUAACGGAAGGGCGCAGUUCGGCUGGAUCUCGCACAGGUGCUGCAUGGCUGUCGUCAGCUCGUGUCGUGAGAUGUUGGGUUAAGUCCCGCAACGAGCGUAACCCUCAUCCUUAGUUGCCAGCGGGUUAUGCCGGGCACUUUAAGGAAACUGCCAGUGGUAAACUGGAGGAAGGUGGGGAUGAUGUCAAGUCAGCACGGCCCUUAUGGGGUGGGCUACACACGUGCUACAAUGGUGACUACAAUAGGUUGAAUGGUCGCAAGA